rnacentral:rRNA from 1 species
GACGAACGCUGGCGGCGUGCUUAACACAUGCAAGUCGAACGGAAAGGCCCUGCUUUUGUGUGGUGCUCGAGUGGCGAACGGGUGAGUAACACGUGAGUAACCUGCCCUUGACUUUGGGAUAACUUCAGGAAACUGGGGCGAAUACCGGCUAGGAGCUCCUGCUGCAUGGUGGGGGUUGGAAAGGUUCGGCGGUUGGGGAUGGACUCGCGGCUUAUCAGCUUGUUGGUGGGGUAGUGGCUUACCAAGGCUUUGACGGGUAGCCGGCCUGAGAGGGUGACCGGCCACAUUGGGACUGAGAUACGGCCCAGACUCCUACGGGAGGCAGCAGUGGGGAAUAUUGCACAAUGGGCGGAAGCCUGAUGCAGCAACGCCGCGUGCGGGAUGAAGGCCUUCGGGUUGUAAACCGCUAUCGCCUGUGACGAAGCGUGAGUGACGGUAAUGGGUAAAGAAGCACCGGCUAACUACGUG